GACGUAGGGCGCGAGCGUUGUCCGGAUUUAUUGGGCGUAAAGAGCUCGUAGGCGGCUUGUUGCGUCAGCUGUGAAAACCCGCAGCUCAACUGGGAGGGUGCGCCGAAAACUGGAAUGCUAGAGUAUGGGAGAGGUAAGCGGAAUUCCUGGUGUAGCGGUGAAAUGCGUAGAUAUCAGGAGGAACACCUGUGGUGUAGACAGCUUACUGGACCAUCACUGACGCUGAGACACGAAAGCGUGGGUAGCAAACAGG
rnacentral:rRNA from 1 species